rnacentral:rRNA from 1 species
CACGUAGGGGGCGAGCGUUGUCCGGAAUCACUGGGCGUAAAGGGCGCGUAGGCGGGAUGGCAAGUCAGUCGUGAAAUCUCUCGGCUCAACCGAGAAACGUCGGCUGAUACUGCCGUUCUUGAGGGAUGCAGAGGAGACUGGAAUUCCCGGUGUAGCGGUGAAAUGUGUAGAGAUCGGGAGGAACACCGGUGGCGAAGGCGGGUCUCUGGGCAUCUCCUGACGCUGAGGCGCGAAAGCGUGGGGAGCAAACGGG